GGCUCGGUGGUGGAUGGUCCACGUCUGCUCUCUGUACGCAAAGCAAGAUCAAGAAUCUUACCAAGCAGGAGGAGCCUGUUCGAAUCAGGCCCGAGCUA